UGUUGUGAUCUCGGUUGUGCUGGUACUUUCUGUUGUUGUGAUCUCCACUGUUGUACUUUUUGGGGUUGUGGUGCCAGUGGUAGUACUUUCUGUAGUGGUGGUGCCUUCUGUUGUUGUUUUCUCUGUUGUGGUGGUACUUUCUUUUGUUGUGCCUGUAGGGGUUCUUUCUAUUGGUGUGGUCUCAGUUGUUGUGCUUACUGGUGUUGUGGUACCUGUGGUGGUGCUUUCUGUUGUUGUAGUGUCUGUUUUGGUGUGUUCUGUAGUUGUGGUAUCUUCUGUAGUUGUAGUUUCCAUUGUUGUACUUGCUGAAGUUGUAAUUGCAGGGGUGGUGUUUUCUGUUGUUGUGGUCUCUGUUGUUGUACUUUCUGAAGUGGUGGUGCCACUGCUUGUACUUUCUGUCAUUGUUGUGCUUUCUGGAGUUGUGGUAUCAGUGGUAGUGCUUUCUGUUGUUGUGGUCUCUGGGGUAGUAUUUUCUGUAGUGGUAGUGCUUUCUAUUGUUGUGGUCUCGGCUGUUGUCCCAGAGGUGGUACUUUCUGUUGUUGUGGUCUCUGUUGUUAUACUUUCUGGAGUAGUGGUGUUAGUGGUUGUACUUUCUAACACUGUUGUGCUUCCUGGAGUAGUAGAACCAGUGGUGGUGCUUUCUGUUGUUACGGUCUCUGUUGUGGUGCCUGUGGUGGUGCUUUUUAUUGUUGUUGGCUCAGUUGUGCUUUCUGUUGUUGUGGUUCCUGUGGUGGUACUUUCUGUUGUUGUAGUGUCUUUUGUGGUACUUUCUGUAGUUGUGUUAUCUUCAGUAGUUGUGGUGCUUUCGUGAGUUGUGGUACCGGUAGUGGUGCUUUCUGUUGUUGUUGUAUCAAUGGUAGUGCUUUCUUUAGUGGUGGUGCCUUCUGUUGUUGUGCUCUCAGUUGUGCUAGUACUUUUUGUUGUUCCAAUCUCCAUCGUUGUAUUUUCUGGGGUCUUGGUGCCAGUGGUAGUACUUUCUGUAGUGGUGGUGUCUUCUGUUGUUGUGAUCUUGUUUGUGGUUGUACUUUCUGUUGUUGUGCUUGUUGUGGUGCUUUCUAUUGUUGUGGUCUCAGUUGUUGUGCUUUCUGGUGUCGUGGUCCCUGUGGUGGUGCUUUCUGUUGUUGUGGUUUCCACUGUUAUACUUUCUGAAGUUGUAAUUCCAGUGGUGGUGCUUUCUGUUGUUUUGAUACCUGUUGUUGUACUUUCUGAAGUGGUGGUGCCACUGGUUGUACUUUCUGUCAACGUGGUGCUUUCUGGAGAUGUGGUACCGGUGGUAGUGCUUUCUGUAGUUGUGGUCUCUGUGGUAGUACUGUCUGGAGUGGUGGUCCCUUCUGUUGUUGUGAUCCCUGUUUUGGUGGCAGUGGUGGUACUUUCUAUCAUUGUGAUCUCUGCUGUUGUACUUUCUGGAGUAGUGGUGCCAGUGGAUGUACUUUCUAACACUGUUGUGUUUUCUAGAGUUGUAGAACCAGUGGUGGUGCUUUCUGUUGUUAUGGUCUCAGUUGUGGUGGCUGUGGUGCUGCUUUCUUUUGUUGAUGGCUCAGUUGUUGUGCUUUCUGGUGUUGUGGUACUUGUGGUGGUGCUUUCUGUUGUUGUAAUGUCUGUUGUGGUACUUUCUAAAGUGGUGGUGGCACUGGUUGUACUUUCUGUCAUUGUGGUGCUUUCGGGAGUUGUGGUACCGGUGGUGGUGCUUUCUGUUGUUGUUGUAUCUAUGGUAGUACUUUCUGUAGUGGUGGUGCCUUCUGUUGUUGUGAUCUUAGUUGUGGUUGAACUUUCUGUUGUUGUGCCCGUGGUGGUGUUUUCUAUUGUUGUAGUGUCUGUUGUGGUGCUUUCUGUAGUUGUGAUAUCUUCUGUAGUUGUGGUUUCCAUUGUGGUACUUUCUGAAGUUGUAAUUCCAGGAGUGGUGCUUUCUGUUGUUGUGGUUCCUGUUGUUCCCGAGUGACCACUCCAUCCUCAACUGUUGGAUGUCCUCCUCUCAGCCACAGUGGAGCAUGAGUGCCACAGCUGUCCUCCUCAACACAUGUGUCUGGCAUCUGAACGCUCUGACCCUGAAUGUAGAGACGGUACCAGCCGUUCCAGCUGACCUCACAGUCACACAUUAUUUCAGAGGAGUAUUGAUUGCUGGUGGCUCUUCGAGGAUCAUCCAGCACACUGUAGCUGUAGCAAGGGUCAUCUGUUAUGGAACAUUAAAAUGUACUUUUUUUAUACCAUUACAUGUUAUUUGAAAUCUUAAGUUGUAGUAUGAGUUUCAUGAAAAUGAUUUCCUUAAGCCUAUUGACGUUGUUGAAAUCUAAACACUGAGCAUCACUUUUCCUUUAGCAGUGACAAUGAGGAUAUAAACAGACCAACUGUUGUAGGGUAGUGUAAAUUAAAUAAAAUGAUAGUGGAAAAUGUAAAAAAAAAAAAAAAAAGUUGAAUGUGCAGCUCAGGAUGUCAACCGUGAGAAAAAGAGUGACAGGUCAGUUUACGGUGGCAGGAUGCACACACCUACAGCAUGUGGCUUUUAAGAUGAAAUUCCAUGACGUACUAGUACAUUCCAUUAGUUGCAUACACUAUUGUGACAAGCUCAAAAACAUACUUUUUUUUUUUUUACUUUUAGGGCAAAUUUCAACAUAGCACAAACUUUUCACAAUCCAUUUAUUUUGAGUAACUUAAAACAGUUUGUUAAAGAACAAUGUCUAAUUCUAUUAUCAGGAUGGACUGGGAAUACUUUCAUGACAUGAAAUCACAGAAAACAUGUUUAAAUUCUUAAAUUACUGCACUUUUUGUAGUGCGAAAAGUCAUGGGGUUAUUUUGAUUGUAUUUAUAGUUUUUUACUAUAUAGUUUACUAAGAAAAAGUAAUAUUUUGCUUUUCUCCACACUAAUUAAAAAAAUUAAUACAACAAUUCAAACAGACUUUUUACGUUU
ensembl:lncRNA